rnacentral:rRNA from 1 species
UACGGAGGGUGCGAGCGUUGUCCGGAAUCAUUGGGCGUAAAGGGCGCGUAGGUGGCCCCUCAAGCGUGCGGUGAAAGUCAGGGGCUCAACCCCUGAUCGGCCGUGCGAACUGGGGAGCUUGAGCACUGUAGAGGCAGGCGGAAUUCCGGGUGUAGCGGUGGAAUGCGUAGAGAUCGGAAGAACACCGGUGGCGAAGGCGGCCUGACUGGGCAGUUUGCUGACACUGA